UCCUGCAGAUAAUGUCUUCUAAAGUGCUUGUUGAAUGAAGAGUGAGUGAAUGAAUGAAUGAUGAUAUUCACCAUCUGCCUCCAUACCCACCACCAUGCCUCCACAAGGCUUUAUUCUGCCUAGUAACUGGCUUGCUCACAUGACAGGGGUGGUUUUGAGAAAGGUCAUGGCAGCAGGAGAGCACAGAGGUGUCAAUGGCUGGUUUUAGAAAGGCCAGACUCCAGGUCAUCCCCCUCUGUACUUUAUGUGGAUGCUUUUCCUAAACAGUCCUGACUUUAUAAACAUAGAUUUGAGGUUAGAGGGUAAUCUUAAGAGGCUGGCUGAGCCCAUCCCUUGCCCAGUGCAGAGCUCCUAAUUCUGAGAUGGCAGAGGCAUC
rnacentral:lncRNA from 1 species